CCUUCCCCUAUCAAAAAAAUUAACUUUUUGGCUAUUUAAAAAAAAAACAACAACGGUCCUUUCAGGGCAGGACAAAAAGGGUGAAGCGAGGAGUUAGCCCCUGCAGGGGGAAGGAGCGGAAUUCGAGCAAUAAAACGGUGAGCUGCAGCUACACGGAUUCCUCCACCGCACACCAGUGGUUUGUGGUUCUGGGGUUUGGGCAGAAUUUCCCUUCCAAGCAGCAAAUAAAUCGACGGCCAUUCAGAUUUUCCGCUGCCGCCUGCUCCGCUUUGCAGAAUAUGAGACGUCUUUGUUCUAGGUUACCGGAGCCGCUGGCGAGAUGCAGCGUCUGGCGCGCUGGAAAGACGCGUGUCCUGGCGACUAGGAAUUGGGGUUUUAAUCUGGAUUGCGGGGGAAGGAACCCCACGCGCCACGGGAAGGGUUCCACGAAAGCGGCUGGUUCGAGGUUCGUUUCUCGCCCCUUCCAACUGCAUCGAAUUUUCCCUGCGCUCAACCCAAGCGGCUCCCCGAACAGCACAGGACCAGAAACCAACUACAGAAAGUGAAAUGAACCCAGGCCAACACGCUUUUAUUUUCUGCCUGUGGUGCACGCUUAGACUAGUACGGAUGUCCUAAUAAUAUUUAGCUAAUUAUAUUUAUUUGCCUUCCAAACAUUUAAUUUAAUUAGAAAACUGUUCCCAAAUCCACCCUUUUCGCUCAUUCUCUACUGACAUUUCAUUAUGUUCUUGUCCUCAUGCCAAAUAUUCUCCCCCCCCCCUCAAAAAAAUAUUCCCCCAACAAUAUCCUUUAGGAAACCACACAGUCUCUGGGAGUUGAUGGCUUCUUCAGGCUUGUAGCUGGGAUUUAUGGGGAGGUUUUUUAUCAGGGUUUCUAGCGCCCAUAACCGCCCUUCACUGUUGACCUGUGUGGACCCUCUCCCUCGGUUUUGGGGCUGCGUGAAAAUUCCCACGGGUUGCAAAUUCUCCGCAGUAUUUUAAGAAGGGGGUGAGUCCAAUUUGCAGCUUCCCCCCCCCCACACACACACUGUCGCUCUCCCCUUCAAGACAGUAGGUUGCAAGUAGCAGAGAAAAUAAUUAGCUGGAAAUCAAAGAUUAGUCUAGGAAAUCGGGGAGAGCUUUGGGCGGAUGUGGCAGCGGGGGCAUUAGCCAGCCAUUAAUAAAUCUUUCUCCCGAGCUCUGACAAAAGCUGGACCCUCCCCACAACUCUCCCUCGCAUCCAAACUUAGUGGGUCUGGUUUAGGAUAUUUUUCCCCUCUGCCCUGUUUCUCAUGCUUUGUUCCCUGAACCCAGCUUCCCCCCCCCACCCUCCCUUUUUUGGUGCGUCUCUCGUGCAUUGCUUAAUUUCUCCUGCAAGGGGCUGUGGAAUCAGCCCUACGAGACGGUUUUCCUUUCGCCACAGCCAAAACAAAAUUCGCCCCAUUUUUUUUAAAUCGUUCCUGCCCCUAUCUCCGCCAGCGCCCGGGCAGAUCCGGGGAAGAGACCCUGCCUCAAGCGACAACGCAUCUACCAAGUUCUGUGGGGCGAAUCUUUGCAGGCCGGCCCCAAACUCGGGCGCCAGGCGUGUGGCUGGGGUCUCCUGUUGGGAGUGUUUGCGGGGCUGCUGGCUGCACGUGGAUCUCUGGGUGAAAUGCAGUUUUUAAAGAGUUCCCAAAUUAAUGACAGAACCCGGAUUGCAGAGGGCUGGCGCUGCGUUGUGUGUAUUCUUCUCUCCUGUGUUGUUGUUGCCAGUUUAUGACCUUUUCAUGCUGUUAAAAGGAAUGUCUUGCCACAUCUCAUUUUUGUUCCAAUGAGAUAUGGAAGGGGGAGCCCGGCAUUUUGAAGUAAUUUGAUAAGCCAUCAAGUAGCAAAUCCGAAAGGGGGGGGCGGCUGACUGUUCCAGGUAUAGUUUUCUUUAUAACCCGAAUUUACAAUGAAAGCAGUCUCCUUUAUGGAUAUAAUAGAUUAGAUUUCACAACUUGCUGCAGCCGAAUGGUACCGUUUAAGGAGCUCCGACUGAUUUUUAUUACACUCCGCCAAAUUGGAUGUUUGUGCUUUUAAAGGGAAACGGUUGUGACAUGAAGAUAUAUAAUUUUUCAAGUGAAAAAGC